UGCCAGACUCCUACGGGAGGCAGCAGUGGGGAAUAUUGCACAAUGGGGGAAACCCUGAUGCAGCAACGCCGCGUGAGUGAAGAAGUAUUUCGGUAUGUAAAGCUCUAUCAGCAGGGAAGAGAAUGACGGUACCUGACUAAGAAGCCCCGGCUAACUACGUGCCAGCAGCCGCGGUAAUACGUAGGGGGCGAGCGUUAUCCGGAUUCACUGGGUGUAAAGGGAGCGUAGACGGCCAUGCAAGCCAGGGGUGAACGCCCGGGGCCCAGCCCCGGGACUGCCCUUGGAACUGCAUGGCUGGAGUGCGGGAGGGGCAGGCGGAAUUCCUGGUGUAGCGGUGAAAUGCGUAGAUAUCAGGAGGAACACCGGCGGCGAAGGCGGCCUGCUGGACUGCGACUGACGUUGAGGCUCGAAAGCGUGGGGAGCGAACAGGAUUAGAUACCCCGGUAAA
rnacentral:rRNA from 1 species